rnacentral:rRNA from 1 species
AUGGCAGUCGUCCGAUCUCUGCUGAGCGCUUUUGGCCAUGUCUCAGGCCUGAAAGUUAAUUUCGCGAAGAGUGCGGUCAUUCCCAUCGGCUGCGGAGGCCUUGAUGUGGCGGAGAUCGUUCGCCCGCUGGGCGCGACCAUCUCCAGUCUCCCGUGCAAAUUCCUGGGACUCCCGCUAUCCCUACGAAAUCUACGGAAGAUCGACGUCCAGCCGCUUAUCGACAAGCUCAGGGCUAGGCUGGGUUUCUGGAAGAUCAGGCUGUUCGCGGCAGCUGGCCGCCUUGUCCUGCUUAACGCAGUUCUGUCAGCCUUCACAACCUACUAGAUAUCUAUCUUCGAGCUGCCAGCAUGGGCUCGCGCCAAAAUCGAUCGUUUGCGCCGCGCCUGGCUCUGGAGGGCCAAUGAGACUUGUCAUGGUGGCCACUGCAAGGUUGCUUGGGGUAAAAUCUGUAAGCCCAAGGAGCUGGGUGGGCUGGGCAUCAUCGAUCUACAAAAAUUUGGGACCUCUCUCCGGCUUCGUUGGCUCUGGCUUGAACGCACCUCACCAUCUAGGCUGUGGCUUGGGCUCCCGGUGCCGUGCUCGAUCGCUGACAGACGCAUCUUUGCGGCCGCCACGAUGGCCUCGGUGGGAGGGGGCACCCGUGCAAGCUUCUGGUUCGACAGCUGGUUAGAGGGCCGUGCUCCUUUCCUUCUAGCGCCGGCGGUGUUCGCGGUGUCACGGCAAAAGUUCCGCACUGUGAAGGAAGCUUUGACAAACAACAGAUGGGUGCUCGACGUCAGGGGCCGCAUUACGGCAGCUGCCCUGCCCGAAUUCAUGGCGCUCUGGGCUGGCGUCUCGGGGAUCACUCUGUCCCCGGCCACCCCGGACUCUUUCACAUGGUGCCCCACGGCGAGCUGGGUGUUCUCUAUCACCUCGGCAUACUCCCUCCAUUUUUGGGCUCAACGGCGUCAGCCCUCCAUCUGCUGGUCUGGAGGGCUUGGGCUCCGGCUAAGAUGCGCCUACUAG